GGGAAAUUUAUCGUGUGCAAGAAAAAAAAGAAAAAGAAUAGCCUCUCAUAACCUUAAAAAAACCCAACAUGAAGCAUCUAUAUUGGGCAGAUUUAUGUUAGGGAAUGACGACACUUAGAAAGGAAGCACAUCAAAUGUCUUGCAGUUUGAGACUACUUCUAAACAUCAGUAGGUCAGCCACUUCACAGCUUUUUCAUGCCUUGGGCCUCAUGUUCACACCCACUUAUGGUGCCCCUUUGCUUCAGGGGCCCCAGAAUCUCUCACUUCUAUCUUGAGGUUCAACCUGGAGGGAUCCUACUGGCCCCAGAUGUCAAAGCACUCGAGUAGUGCCGUCGCUUGAACUUGAGUUGCUCAUGUGCUGUGAUGAAUUCGGGCUCUGGCCAAGAAAGAGGAACGGCUUUGAGAAAUGUGAAAAGGGCAGCAGAUGCAAAACCUGGCAUCAGAGGACGCCUAAUGCUGACUGAGGGAUGACAGGCUUUGAAACCAAAAGGAGGAGACUUAGGGCAGAUGCUGCACAGAUGGGAGAAUCCAAGAAGAGCUGCCUGGGGAGGAGAGGAUGUGAUCAAAGCAGUGCUCACGCUGGAUGGACAUCAGUGGAAAGAGGAGUGGAGUCAGCCCUGCAACUGUCUUGUCCAGCUUUUUCCCUGUACACAACACAAGUGACAACGGUUUGGCAACCAGUCUGGGAUAUUUUUUAUCUGCUUUCUUCUCUCUCCUUUCUGGACUUCAAUAUGUAUUUUGAAUUUUUGCUGCAAAAUGCAGAAAGUAAAUAAAGAGACAACUUAGACGGGCAAUGGACAGACCUAACAGAAGAUGGAGAAGAGAAACUGUAACAAAUAAACCUAAAUAAAGAGUCAAACUCUUAAUAAAUUAUGUCUGACCACCAGACAGCUAUAGCAAAACAGCCAAAUGAGCUGCCAUGCCCUGAUGCUGAUAGUCUGGAUAAAAUAUUAAAACAAGUCUGGACCAAAGAGAACCUCUCAGCAAUGGUAGAGCAGUUUGCUUUCUAGCCGAGGUAAAAAUAACAUGUAAUCAUUUAAUACAAUUUCUUCAAAUAAACUUUAUUUGGAGAUAAUGGCUUCCAGAUGGGUGAAGGUUUAUAAACAUCUCUGCCACAAGA
ensembl:lncRNA